GAUGAACGCUGGCGGCGUGCCUAAUACAUGCAAGUCGAGCGAAUAGACGAGGAGCUUGCUCCUCUGACGUUAGCGGCGGACGGGUGAGUAACACGUGGAUAACCUACCUAUAAGACUGGGAUAACUUCGGGAAACCGGAGCUAAUACCGGAUAAUAUAUUGAACCGCAUGGUUCAAUAGUGAAAGACGGUUUUGCUGUCACUUAAAGAUGGAUCCGCGCCGCAUUAGCUAGUUGGUAAGGUAACGGCUUACCAAGGCAACGAUGCGUAGCCGACCUGAGAGGGUGAUCGGCCACACUGGAACUGAGACACGGUCCAGACUCCUACGGGAGGCAGCAGUAGGGAAUCUUCCGCAAUGGGCGAAAGCCUGACGGAGCAACGCCGCGUGAGUGAUGAAGGUCUUCGGAUCGUAAAACUCUGUUAUUAGGGAAGAACAAAUGUGUAAGUAACUAUGCACGUCUUGACGGUACCUAAUCAGAAAGCCACGGCUAACUACGUG
rnacentral:rRNA from 1 species